rnacentral:rRNA from 1 species
UACGUAGGGGGCUAGCGUUGUCCGGAAUCAUUGGGCGUAAAGCGCGUGUAGGCGGUUCGGUAAGUCCGCUGUGAAAGUCGAGGGCUCAACCCUCGAAAGCCGGUGGAUACUGUCGGGCUAGAGUGCGGAAGAGGCGAGUGGAAUUCCUGGUGUAGCGGUGAAAUGCGCAGAUAUCGGGAGGAACACCAGUAGCGAAGGCGGCUCGCUGGGCCAUUCCUGACGCUGAGACGCGAAAGCUAGGGGAGCGAACAGG